ensembl:snoRNA
UGCAAAUGAUGUUUUAUCACGAUGGUCUUCCAAACCCUCGGGGUUCUGAGGAUACUGCCUCAUGGCAAUACUGAUGUAGUAAA